GGUCAAGCUACAAAGGGCGCAUGGUGAAUGCCUUGGCAUCAGGAGCCGAUGAAGGACGUGAUAAGCUGCGAUAAGCUUCGGGUAGGCGCACAUAGCCUGAGAUCCGAAGAUCUCCGAAUGAGGAAACUCACAUGGGAAACCCCAUGUAUCAUUAAGUGAAUACAUAGCUUAAUGAAGGUAACCCAGGGAACUGAAACAUCUAAGUACCUGGAGGAAGAGAAAGAAAAAUCGAUUUUCUUAGUAGCGGCGAGCGAAAGGGAAAGAGCCCAAACCGGAAACUUGUUUCCGGGGUUGUGGACAUAACAUAAAAGUGGAGGCUAUUGUAACUGAAGAGAACUGGAAAGUUCCACCGUAGAAGGUAAUAGUCCUGUAAGUGAAACGAGAAGACCACGAGUUAUGAUCCAGAGUACCACGAGACACGUGAAACCUUGUGGGAAGCAGGGAGGACCACCUCCCAAGGCUAAAUACUACCUGAUGACCGAUAGUGAAGCAGUACCGUGAGGGAAAGGUGAAAAGAACCCCGGGAGGGGAGUGAAAUAGAACCUGAAACCGUGUGCCUACAACCGCUCAGAGCCCCUUAUGAGGGUGAUGAGGUGCUUUUUGUAGAACGAGCCAACGAGUUACGGUAUGUAGCAAGGUUAAGUACUUAAGGUACGGAGCCGAAGGGAAACCGAGUCUGAAUAGGGCGACUAGUUGCAUGCCGUAGACCCGAAACCGGGUGACCUAUCCAUGGCCAGGUUGAAGCGAGGGUAAAACCUCGUGGAGGACCGAACCACGUUGCUGUUGAAAAAGCAUGGGAUGAGCUGUGGAUAGCGGAGAAAUUCCAAUCGAACCCGGAGAUAGCUGGUUCUCUCCGAAAUAGCUUUAGGGCUAGCGUCGAGUAUGAGUAGUGGAGGUAGAGCACUGAAUGGGCUAGGGGGCAUAGCGCUUACCGAACCUUAUCAAACUCCGAAUGCCACAUACUUUGAGCUCGGCAGUCAGACUACGAAUGAUAAGAUCCGUGGUCAAAAGGGAAACAGCCCAGAUCGUCAGCUAAGGUCCCAAAGUGUAAGUUAAGUGGGAAAGGAUGUGAGAUUUCUAAGACAACUAGGAUGUUGGCUUAGAAGCAGCCAUUCAUUAAAAGAGUGCGUAAUAGCUCACUAGUCGAGAGAUCUUGCGCCGAAAAUGUAACGGGGCUAAACUUACCACCGAAGCUACGGGCUUGAACUUAGUUCAAGCGGUAGGAGAGCGUCGUAACCGGGCUGAAGUCGUACCGUAAGGAGCGGUGGACUGGUUACGAGUGAGAAUGUUGGCAUCAGUAGCGAGAUGUGGGUGAGAAUCCCACAGGCCGAAAACCUAAGGUUUCCUCAGGAAGGUUCGUCCGCUGAGGGUUAGUCGGGACCUAAGCCGAGGCCGAAAGGCGUAGGUGAUGGACAACUGGUUGAUAUUCCAGUACCACUACCAUCGUUAUUAUCGAUGGCGUGACGCAGGAGGAUAGUGUGUGCUAGCUAUUGGAUGCUAGUCUAAGCGUUUAGGCAGUGAGAGUAGGCAAAUCCGCUCUCAUAAUGCUGAGGCGUGAUGGGGAAGGUUCUACGGAACCGAAGUACAUGAUUCCACGCUGCCAAGAAAAGCGUCUAGAGAGAGAAGUAGUGCCCGUACCGCAAACCGACACAGGUAGGUGAGGAGAGAAUCCUAAGGCCGGCGGAAGAAUUACAGUUAAGGAACUCGGCAAAUUGACCCCGUAAGUUCGCGAGAAGGGGUGCCUACGAGAGUAGGCCGCAGAGAAUAGGCCCAAGCAACUGUUUAGCAAAAACACAGGUCUCUGCUAAAGCGUAAGCUGAUGUAUAGGGGCUGACGCCUGCCCGGUGCUGGAAGGUUAAGGGGAACACUUAGCGCAAGCGAAGGUGUGAACUUAAGCCCCAGUAAACGGCGGCCGUAACUAUAACGGUCCUAAGGUAGCGAAAUUCCUUGUCAGGUAAGUUCUGACCCGCACGAAUGGCGUAAUGACUUGGGCACUGUCUCAACUGUAAAUCCGGCGAAGUUGUAGUGCGAGUGAAGAUGCUCGCUACCCGCGAUUGGACGGAAAGACCCCGUAGAGCUUUACUGUAGCUUAGCAUUGAGUUUUGGUAUUGUCUGUACAGGAUAGGUGGGAGACUAGGAAACCAGGGCGUCAGCCUUGGUGGAGUCAACCUUGGGAUACCACCCUGACAGUACUGAAAUUCUAACUGGCGGCCAUGAAUCUGGUCACAGGACAUUGUUAGGUGGGCAGUUUGACUGGGGCGGUCGCCUCCUAAAAAGUAACGGAGGCGCCCAAAGGUUCCCUCAGAACGGUCGGAAAUCGUUCGAAGAGUGCAAAGGCAGAAGGGAGCCUGACUGCGACACCCACAAGUGGAGCAGGGACGAAAGUCGGGCUUAGUGAUCCGGUGGUACCUCGUGGGAGGGCCAUCGCUCAACGGAUAAAAGCUACCUCGGGGAUAACAGGCUGAUCUCCCCCAAGAGUCCACAUCGACGGGGAGGUUUGGCACCUCGAUGUCGGCUCGUCGCAUCCUGGGGCUGAAGUAGGUCCCAAGGGUUGGGCUGUUCGCCCAUUAAAGCGGCACGCGAGCUGGGUUCAGAACGUCGUGAGACAGUUCGGUCCCUAUCCGUCGCGGGCGUAGGAAAUUUGAGAGGAGCUGUCCUUAGUACGAGAGGACCGGGAUGGACUGACCUCUGGUGUACCAGUUGUUCCGCCAGGAGCACAGCUGGGUAGCUAAGUCGGGAAUGGAUAAACGCUGAAAGCAUCUAAGCGUGAAGCCAACCUCAAGAUGAUAUUUCCCAUAGCGUAAGCUAGUAAGAUCCCUUGAAGAACACAAGGUUGAUAGGUCGGGGGUGUAAGCAUGGUAACAUGUUCAGCUGACCGAUACUAAUAGAUCGAGGGCUUGACCAA
rnacentral:rRNA from 1 species